AAGCAAAACACCGCAGCCGCGGGGAGGGCGCGCGGGCGGCGGCAGGGGCCCCGCGACGCCUGCGUGCGGCCUGCCGCGCUCUCUGGCGGCGGGAGGCCGGCCGAGCGUCGCUGCCGCCGAUCGGUCUCGCACCUGCUGUCUGCGGCCCCAUCCCUGCAGGAGUGCCAGGACCCACGUGCGUGAGCUCGGAGGACAGGGUGGGCACUGAGUAGGAGCUCAGAGUGGAAGGAUGACUGCAGCACCCCAUCACCCCCACGAGGACAGAUGCUAACAAGUCCUGGUGUCUGGUCCUCAUGAACACCGUUCAGCACAUGGGAGGCUGCCUACCGGCCUUUAAGCCCCGGAGAGCGCGUGACAUACUGGAGAGGCCUGUAUGACGACGGUAAGGAAGACAUUAACCAAGAUCGAAAAGUUCCCAGGAGCAGAGGUUCCCAGGAGCCAACAUGUCACCAGUCAAAUACACUAAAUGGGUUACAAUUGUUUGAAGUUAUUUACAAAGGCGCGCAUGAUGUGUUAGCAAUCACAUAGCCUCACAAUUACUUAGGACGUUGUACUUCGGCAGCCAGCGGGCUUCCA